UGUGCCAGCAGCCGCGGUAAAACCAGCACCUCAAGUGGUCAGGAUGAUUAUUGGGCCUAAAGCAUCCGUAGCUCGUUUUGUAAGUUUUCGGUUAAAUCCAUGCGCUCAACGUAUGGGCUGCCGGGAGUACUGCAUAACUAGGAAGUGGGAGAGGUAGACGGUACUCGGUAGGAAGGGGUAAAAUCCUUUGAUCUAUUGACGACCACCUGUGGCGAAGGCGGUCUACCAGAACACGUUCGACGGUGAGGGAUGAAAGCUGGGGGAGCAAACCGGAUUAGAUACCCGGGUAGUCCCAGCUGUAAACUAUGCAAACUCAGUGACGCAUUGGCUUGUGGCCAAUGCAGUGCUGCAGGGAAGCCGUUAAGUUUGCCGCCUGGGAAGUACGUACGCAAGUAUGAAACUUAAAGGAAUUGGCGGGGGAGCACCACAAGGGGUGAAGCCUGCGGUUCAAUUGGAGUCAACGCCAGAAAUCUUACCCGGAGAGACAGCAGAAUGAAGGUUAAGCUGAAGACUUUACCAGACAAGCUGAGAGGUGGUGCAUGGCCGUCGCCAGCUCGUGCCGUGAGAUGUCCUGUUAAGUCAGGUAACGAGCGAGAUCCCUGCCUCUAGUUGCCACCAUUACUCUCAGGAGUAGUGGGGCGAAUUAGCGGGACCGCCGCAGUUAAUGCGGAGGAAGGAAGGGGCCACGGCAGGUCAGUAUGCCCCGAAACUCUGGGGUCACACGCGGGCUGCAAUGGUAGUAACAAUGGGUUCCGAACCCGAAAGGCGGAGGUAAUCCUCAAAUGCUACCACAGUUAUGAUCGAGGGCUGCAACUCGCCCUCAUGGAUAUGGAAUCCCUAGUAAUUGCGCGUCAUUAUCGCGCGGUGAAUACGUCCCUGCUCCUUGCACACACCGCCCGUCGUUUCAUUGAAGUUUACUUUUAGCGAGGUGAUGCCUAAUUG
rnacentral:rRNA from 1 species